GACGAACGCUGGCGGCGCGCCUAACACAUGCAAGUCGAACGAGCGAGCGAGAGCUUGCUUUCUCAAGCGAGUGGCGAACGGGUGAGUAACGCGUGAGGAACCUGCCUCAAAGAGGGGGACAACAGUUGGAAACGACUGCUAAUACCGCAUAAGCCCACAGGUCGGCAUCGACCAGAGGGAAAAGGAGCAAUCCGCUUUGAGAUGGCAUCGCGUCCGAUUAGCUAGUUGGUGAGGUAACGGCCCACCAAGGCAACGACCGCCAGCCGGACUGUGAGGUUGGACGGCGACUCUGGGACUGAGAAGCGGCACGGAAUCCUCCGGGAGGCAGGAAAGCGGAAUAUAGCACAACGGGGGAAAUCAUGAUGCAGCGAGGAUGCGUGGAGGAAGAAAGUCUUCAGAUAGUAAACUCCUGUUGUCGAGGAAGAUAAUGACGGUACUCAACCAGGAAGUGACGGCUAACUACGUG
rnacentral:rRNA from 1 species